UUUAAGAAUAUGGAGUUUAAGUAAUUCAGUGAGUCUUUUUAUCUUUUGAUAGCUAGGAAAUGGAAUGUGUCAGUCCUCACCAGUGAUGUGCCAUCUGCAGGAACAAGCUCAGAGGUUUAUAUUACAUUGUAUGGGGAUCGUGGCAGUUCGGGUCCUAUUUGGCUUGAUGGAGAGAAGGGAAAAUUAUUUCAGAGAGGCAAUGAAGACAUCUUCACACCACACGAGCCUCUCGUCUCUCUCUCCCUGGUCUGGCCUGGAGGCAGCCCUGCAGAGCUGAGCUGAAAUCACGAGCUGACAAUCACUAAAGAGCUGACAGUCUCUGCACGGGCCCUCCUGCCAGCAGCUGAGGGAAGACACCAGGCCCCGGGAAGACGAUCCUCCACGGGACCACCUCUCUGGACCGGUCACAGCUUCCUCAGUCAGAGCUACUGACCCCACACCAGCUGCAUUAAUGGGACUACAGUAUUAAAAAUUAAAUGAAGAAGUGAAGAACUAGGAUAUGGGAUCAAUACUAGAAGCAUAAGACAUCUCUACAAAAUAUGUGUAGGACAUACAAAUGCAGGAAGCUCCCCUGCCUGGCACUGUGAAGAGAUUGCAGAACCUUUUCUCAGGGGAGCAGUUCUCUUUCCCUGCACAUCGAUGGCUGGCCAAAGACCAGGCUGGUGGGGAAAUAUCUGUGGAGCUUCCUGUUUUACAGCAGGGUCAGCCUAUUCUUCCAGGAAAUGGAUGGUUUCUGGACAAAGUUGUAAUGAAGGAUCCUAUAGCAGAUUUGGAUUAUACUUUUCUUUGUCACAGGUGGCUGGACGAGGGACAGGGCAACGGGAAUAUCGCUAGAGAACUGCCUGUGACAGAUGCCAGCGCGUUUCCAGGAAAACUAGUGGGCUGCAGAAAAGUGGAAAUUUCAGAAAGGCAUGACACUUCAAUUUUACAACAGGCUUACCUGUGGCUUCAUUUGCCUUUACCCAGAUGGCAGAGUUGGUGUUCUUGGUGA
rnacentral:lncRNA from 1 species